rnacentral:rRNA from 1 species
UACAGAGGUCCCAAGCGUUGUUCGGAUUUACUGGGCGUAAAGAGCGUGUAGGCGGCCAGGUAGGUCUGGUGUGAAAACUCGAGGCUUAACCUCGAGAUGUCAUCGGAAACCAUUUGGCUAGAGUCCGGAAGAGGAGAGUGGAAUUCCUGGUGUAGCGGUGAAAUGCGCAGAUAUCAGGAGGAACACCGGUGGCGAAGGCGGCAUCCUGGACCGGCAUUGACGCUGAGGCGCGAAAGCUAGGGGAGCAAACGGG